rnacentral:rRNA from 1 species
GAUGAACGCUGGCGGCGUGCUUAACACAUGCAAGUCGAACGGAGAAAGGGUAGCUUGCUAUCUUUUCUUAGUGGCGGACGGGUGAGUAACGCGUGGGUAACCUGCCCUUUGCAGGGGGAUAACAGUGAGAAAUCGCUGCUAAUACCGCAUACCAACUUCUUUCGCAUGAAGGAAGUUUGAAAGAUUUAUCGGCAAAGGAUGGACCCGCGUUGGAUUAGCUAGUUGGUGAGAUAACAGCCCACCAAGGCAACGAUCCAUAGCCGGCCUGAGAGGGUGAACGGCCACACUGGGACUGAGACACGGCCCAGACUCCUACGGGAGGCAGCAGUGGGGAAUAUUGCACAAUGGGCGAAAGCCUGAUGCAGCGACGCCGCGUGAAGGAUGAAGGUCUUCGGAUUGUAAACUUCUAUCAGCAGGGAAGAAAGGGCUUAUAGCCUAUGACGGUACCUGACUAAGAAGCCCCGGCUAACUACGUG